rnacentral:rRNA from 1 species
GACGAACCACACAAACGUUAUUCGGAAUUACUGGGCUUAAAGGGUGCGUAGGCGGCGCAGAAAGUAGGGUGUGAAAUCCCUCGGCUCAACCGAGGAACUGCGCCCUAAACUACUGUGCUCGAGGGAGGUAGAGGUGAGCGGAACUUAGGGUGGAGCGGUGAAAUGCGUUGAUAUCCUAAGGAACACCGGUGGCGAAAGCGGCUCACUGGACCUCUUCUGACGCUGAGGCACGAAAGCUAGGGUAGCGAACGGGAUUAGAUACCCCGGUAGUCCUAGCCGUAAACGAUGAGCACUGGACUGGAGGGUCCUCCAUAGCCUUCCGGUCGCAGCGAAAGUGUUAAGUGCUCCGCCUGGGGAGUAUGGUCGCAAGGCUGAA